rnacentral:rRNA from 1 species
GUUCCUGGCUCAGGAUGAACGCUGGCGGCGUGCCUAACACAUGCAAGUCGAGCGAUUCUCUUCGGAGAAGAGCGGCGGACGGGUGAGUAACGCGUGGGUAACCUGCCCUAUACACACGGAUAACAUACCGAAAGGUAUGCUAAUACGAGAUAACAUAAGAGAUUCGCAUGGAUUUCUUAUCAAAGCUUUUGCGGUAUAGGAUGGACCCGCGUCUGAUUAGCUAGUUGGUAAGGUAACGGCUUACCAAGG